GGUAGCGUGUCCGAGCGGCCGAAGGUGUUCGCCUCGAAAGCGAAUGUUGGGUAACCCCAACCGCGGGUUCAAAUCCCGCCGCUACCGCCA
rnacentral:tRNA from 1 species